AAGCCAGCUGCAAAGAUGGAGGAGAAGAGGAAAAGAAGGAGGUGGUUGUGGUUAUGAAGGGUUGCCGUGGCAGGACAGCCGGUUAUAGUUUUCUUUUUGGAGAGGGGAGGGGGGGUCAGGAAGAAAUCGGUCUGGGGUAGGCCGGGCCCAGUAAUUGCAGCUUCCCAUCCUGCACGCACAUCUGCAAGGAAAGCAGCAGCAGCAGCAGGAACGCGCCAUUUUUCCCCGAUCUCCUUCCAGGGCUCCCAAGAAGGAUUUCCCUUUCUCUUCAAGGGAUGUCCCUACAGCAUUGGCUAAACAGCAUUUGACCUUUCUGGCUACCAGUCCCCAUCCUUAAGGUGAAGGCUACCAUAGGUCCAGCUCUGAAAACCACUGCCUUCUCCUCCCUGAUUUUUCAUCAAUCAGCCACUUACUAAGAAGGAAAACAUGAGUUCCAAGAAUGAAUCAGAUGGAGUUUCUGGACGUGAGCCAUCAUUGGAACUCCUGUCACGGGCACAGAUCCAUGCCAUACCUGUGGCAGGAUUGGUCUACACACACAGCAAAAUGCGGUGGGAAUGAGGCAGUAGAAUGGACUGUACCACUUCAGACUACAGGUGGGAGUUCACAUUUCUGAAUGCAUUUUAAAACCAAAAACAAAGCCCAAGCUUUCCUUUCAGGUAGGAAACUUAACAAGAAAUAGAAUGGCCAAGAAUUUCCAUAAGUGAUAGCUUCUUACUUGUA